rnacentral:rRNA from 1 species
AGACCCGAAACCCGGUGAUCUAGCCAUGGGCAGGUUGAAGGUUGGGUAACACUAACUGGAGGACCGAACCGACUAAUGUUGAAAAAUUAGCGGAUGACCUGUGGCUGGGGGUGAAAGGCCAAUCAAACCGGGAGAUAGCUGGUUCUCCCCGAAAGCUAUUUAGGUAGCGCCUCGUGAAUUCAUCUCCGGGGGUAGAGCACUGUUUCGGCUAGGGGGCCAUCCCGGCUUACCAACCCGAUGCAAACUGCGAAUACCGGAGAAUGUUAUCACGGGAGACACACGGCGGGUGCUAACGUCCGUCGUGAAGAGGGAAACAACCCAGACCGCCAGCUAAGGUCCCAAAGUCAUGGUUAAGUGGGAAACGAUGUGGGAAGGCCCAGACAGCCAGGAUGUUGGCUUAGAAGCAGCCAUCAUUUAAAGAAAGCGUAAUAGCUCACUGGUCGAGUCGGCCUGCGCGGAAGAUGUAACGGGGCUAAACCAUGCACCGAAGCUGCGGCAGCGACAUUUAGGUGUUGUUGGGUAGGGGAGCGUUCUGUAAGCCUGUGAAGGUGGCCUGUGAGGGUUGCUGGAGGUAUCAGAAGUGCGAAUGCUGACAUAAGUAACGAUAAAGCGGGUGAAAAGCCCGCUCGCCGGAAGACCAAGGGUUCCUGUCCAACGUUAAUCGGGGCAGGGUGAGUCGACCCCUAAGGCGAGGCCGAAAGGCGUAGUCGAUGGGAAACGGGUUAAUAUUCCCGUACUUGGUGUUACUGCGAAGGGGGGACGGAGAAGGCUAUGUUGGCCGGGCGACGGUUGUCCCGGUUUAAGCGUGUAGGUGUGUGUUCCAGGUAAAUCCGGUUCACUUUAACACUGAGGCGUGACGACGAGGCACUACGGUGCUGAAGCAACAAAUGCCCUGCUUCCAGGAAAAGCCUCUAAGCAUCAGGUAACAUCAAAUCGUACCCCAAACCGACACAGGUGGUCAGGUAGAGAAUACCAAGGCGCUUGAGAGAACUCGGGUGAAGGAACUAGGCAAAAUGGUGCCGUAACUUCGGGAGAAGGCACGCUGACACGUAGGUGAAGUGAUUUACUCACGGAGCUGAAGUCAGUCGAAGAUACCAGCUGGCUGCAACUGUUUAUUAAAAACACAGCACUGUGCAAACACGAAAGUGGACGUAUACGGUGUGACGCCUGCCCGGUGCCGGAAGGUUAAUUGAUGGGGUCAGCGCAAGCGAAGCUCCUGAUCGAAGCCCCGGUAAACGGCGGCCGUAACUAUAACGGUCCUAAGGUAGCGAAAUUCCUUGUCGGGUAAGUUCCGACCUGCACGAAUGGCGUAAUGAUGGCCAGGCUGUCUCCACCCGAGACUCAGUGAAAUUGAACUCGCUGUGAAGAUGCAGUGUACCCGCGGCAAGACGGAAAGACCCCGUGAACCUUUACUAUAGCUUGACACUGAACAUUGAGCCUUGAUGUGUAGGAUAGGUGGGAGGCUUUGAAGCGUGGACGCCAGUCUGCGUGGAGCCGACCUUGAAAUACCACCCUUUAAUGUUUGAUGUUCUAACGUGGACCCGUGAUCCGGGUUGCGGACAGUGUCUGGUGGGUAGUUUGACUGGGGCGGUCUCCUCCUAAAGAGUAACGGAGGAGCACGAAGGUUGGCUAAUCCUGGUCGGACAUCAGGAGGUUAGUGCAAUGGCAUAAGCCAGCUUGACUGCGAGCGUGACGGCGCGAGCAGGUGCGAAAGCAGGUCAUAGUGAUCCGGUGGUUCUGAAUGGAAGGGCCAUCGCUCAACGGAUAAAAGGUACUCCGGGGAUAACAGGCUGAUACCGCCCAAGAGUUCAUAUCGACGGCGGUGUUUGGCACCUCGAUGUCGGCUCAUCACAUCCUGGGGCUGAAGUAGGUCCCAAGGGUAUGGCUGUUCGCCAUUUAAAGUGGUACGCGAGCUGGGUUUAGAACGUCGUGAGACAGUUCGGUCCCUAUCUGCCGUGGGCGCUGGAGAACUGAGGGGGGCUGCUCCUAGUACGAGAGGACCGGAGUGGACGCAUCACUGGUGUUCGGGUUGUCAUGCCAAUGGCACUGCCCGGUAGCUAAAUGCGGAAGAGAUAAGUGCUGAAAGCAUCUAAGCACGAAACUUGCCCCGAGAUGAGUUCUC